CAAUAAUGAAAUUGAUCCUAAAGAUAUAGGACAAUUAGUUGUUUUGCCAUCCUCAUUUACAGGCAGUGUCGGCCUGGCCAGGGCAGCGAGGCAGCGAACGCUGCCGAGGCCCUCACCGUUUUUUUUUUUUUUAUUCUAGUAUAGGCACCUCAAAUAGUGAUGGACGGGGACUUAAUAGCCCAGGGUGCUAAGUAUUGUUAAAGGCUCUUUAGGUCAUUACAUACAUGUGCGAUUAAAUUUUGGUAAUUGGGUCUCGCACAAAUAUAUACAAUUAAUGAGCAAAAAGAGUUUAAAGGAUAAAAACUUAUUAACAUUGAAUAUUUGAAUACUUUCGGUUUAUUGGAAUAAUUUUGUUUUUAAAAUACAAGUAUUCUCUAGGUGUUUUGUUGUCAUGCAACAUUAAAUUCUCUUAUCGCAUCAUAAUGGUUUAAGUUUAAAAAUACGAGUAUUUAUUAUUUUUCGUAAAUUAUUUUUGUUCUAUUUUUGGAUACUACAUGUUUUUCAUAAUAUGUUAACGCUCGUGCAAUAUAAGAUAACGAUAAUACGAUGUAUAAAUAUAUUUAUAUUUCUUUUUAUACCAGUUGGAUUUUUAUCACUUCUAUAAUAGUUAAAUUAAUAUUUGUAUACAUACGGGGCACGGGCAUUCGAGUGUGUAACGCGUGUUCCGGUAUUAGUGACCAGUUUCGUUUUGUGUUUUGUGUAUCUUUAUUAAAAUUAACAAAAAUGAAUAAACAGAGGUUUCAAAGUGGACACGCCAAAAGAAAAGCGAAACAAAAGGAAGCCUUAAUUGCUUGUGGAAACGACAAAAGUCAAAAAAAAAAUUUGCUUCUUCCCAACUAUUAGACAAGGUAAUUCUAGUGUUACAAGUGAUCCAGUUUUAAAUAUAACUGAAAAUAAUUCAUCAGAUUUUGAAAAUGAUUUGAUACAUGCCAAUGAUAAUUCUAGCACAGGUUGUGAUAUAGUUUUAAGUACAACUGAAAGUAAUAUAGCAAAUACAGAAAGAAACAUAACUAAUAAUACUGGUAAGUGGUGAUACAUAUUAUAUAAAUAUAUUAUGUAACUACUAACUAUUAAUUAUAACUCAACUUAC